UACGUAGGGGGCAAGCGUUGUCCGGAAUCAUUGGGCGUAAAGAGCGUGUAGGCGGUCCGGUAAGUCGGUUGUGAAAGUCCAGGGCUCAACCCUGGGAUGCCGAUCGAUACUGUCGGACUAGAGUUCGGAAGAGGCGAGUGGAAUUCCCGGUGUAGCGGUGAAAUGCGCAGAUAUCGGGAGGAACACCAAUGGCGAAGGCAGCUCGCUGGGACGUUACUGACGCUGAGACGCGAAAGCGUGGGGAGCAAACAGG
rnacentral:rRNA from 1 species